rnacentral:rRNA from 1 species
UACGGGAGGCAGCAGUGGGGAAUCUUGCGCAAUGGGCGAAAGCCUGACGCAGCGACGCCGCGUGAGGGAAGAAGGCCUUCGGGUUGUAAACCUCUUUCAGGAGGGACGAAGCCACUCGGGUUAAUACCCCAGAGGGUGACGGUACCUUCAGAAGAAGCCCCGGCUAACUACGUGCCAGCAGCCGCGGUAAUACGUAGGGGCAAGCGUUGUCCGGAAUCAUUGGGCGUAAAGAGCGUGUAGGCGGCCAGAUAAGUCCGCUGUGAAAUCUCGAGGCUCAACUUCGAGCUGUCGGUGGAAACUGUCUGGCUAGAGUCCGGAAGAGGAGAAUGGAAUUCCUGGUGUAGCGGUGAAAUGCGCAGAUAUCAGGAAGAACACCCGUGGCGAAGGCGGUUCUCUGGGACGGGUACUGACGCUGAGACGCGAAAGCGUGGGGAGCGAACAGGGAUUAGAUACC